CCUACGGGUGGCAGCAGUUGGGAAUCUUGCACAAUGGGGGAAACCCUGAUGCAGCGACGCCGCGUGGAGGAAGAAGGGUCUAGGCUCGUAAACUCCUUUUUCAGGGAAAGACUUAGGACGGUACCCUGAGAAUAAGCUCCGGCUAACUACGUGCCAGCAGCCGCGGUACGUCGUAGGGAGCGAGCGUUGUCCGGAUUUACUGGGCGUAAAGAGCACGUAGGCUGUCUGUUAAGUGAGAAGUGAAAUCUCCAGCGCUCAAGGCGGAACCGGCUUAUCAUACUGGCAGGCUUGAGGGAUGCAGAGGCAAGUAGAAUUCCUGGUGUACCGGGGACAUGGGUUGAUAUCAGGAGGAAUACCAAUGGCGAAGGCAGCUUGCUGGGCAUCAUCUGACGCUGAGGUGCGAAAGCGUGGGUAGCAAACAGGAUUAGAUACCCGAGUAGUC
rnacentral:rRNA from 1 species